rnacentral:ncRNA from 2 species
GACCUAUGAAGAGUACGGAAGAGACAGGCUCGUCGCCGUACCGCAACCUGCAUACGCAAGGUGCGAAAUCCUGCGGGGAAACCCGGAAGAUAGGGA